rnacentral:sRNA from 1 species
AUCCUUCACCCUGCUCACACACGUACACACAUACAGCCGUAUAUGUAUGUGUGCUCAUGCACACAUAUCUGCGCAUUAACAUCGGCACGUACACACGCUCUAACACCAAUACAUGGCGAGAGGGUUCGUGUGGACUCCAUUUGGCUUUGGCUUCGCUUGGGCACUUGAAUUGCCCGUCACCUUCUUCUUCUUCGUCGUCGUCGUCGUCGUCGUCGUCCGCCUUUUCAGUACCUUCGUGCAGCGCAAUACGCGCGGUGUGUGUGUGUUUUGGCCUCGCGCAGAGUUUCUUAUUUGCCGCCCGCUCAUUAAUUUUUUGCAAUAUGUUGGCGCAGGUUCAGCGAAAACCAGUGCUCAGCGUUUGUGUCUCAAAAUAUGCAUUUUAAUAACCGAAAAACAAAAUAAUUAUUAAAAGCAACAAAUAAUAAUUAAAAAAGCAAAUAUUUAACAAAAAAAAAAAAGAAAACACAAUGUGAGCAUGUGUAAUGUGAAAUUUAGAAGUUAAGCGCGAAUUGUAUGUAUUAUUUAAAUUUCUGUUCAAUAAGUUUACAUUAAAAAAAAAAAACAAAAAUAAAACAAAAAAAC